rnacentral:lncRNA from 1 species
CUCUGAAGCCACAAACCCCAAAAGCUCUUACUGAUCCAACCGCUUCCACAAACCCAAAAUCAAGACUCGAAUUAAACCAAGAGACUCCCCAAUCGAAGGCCAACAAGACUGCAAACAACACUAACCACCUAACUGAAACUACACGAAGAGGGAGAAAGACGGGAUGAAAGCUUACUCGAGAUAAAGACAACAAAAUCCAAGGUAAAACCGAGAAGAAUCACCAGAGAGAAACCAAGCCAACUCCAUAUCUGACAACUCCACAAAGACCUUCUCUAGCCACCACAGGGAUAGGAUGAACGACACUCAAAAGACCGUCAAUUACACCUUGCCGUGAAGAACUUCUACUUCUCAGAGAAAGCUAAAAAUUCCAUCGAUCCACCAAAACUAGCAAAGACCAAAAAUAAAG